rnacentral:rRNA from 1 species
UACAGAGGUCCCAAGCGUUGUUCGGAUUCACUGGGCGUAAAGGGUGCGUAGGUGGUGGGGUAAGUCGGAUGUGAAAUCUCCGAGCUCAACUCGGAAAUGGCAUUGGAAACUACCCUGCUAGAGGGUCGGAGGGGGGACUGGAAUGCUUGGUGUAGCAGUGAAAUGCGUAGAGAUCCGGAGGAACACCAGUGGCGAAGGCGACACGCUGGGCCAUACCUGACGCUAAAGCGCGACAGCAUGGGGAGCAAACGGG